rnacentral:pre_miRNA from 1 species
CUAAUACUCCCUCCUUUCCGAAUUACUUGUCGCAGAUAUGGAUGUAUCUAGAUGUAUUUUAGUUCUAGAUACAUCCAUUUCUGCGACGAGUAAUUUGGAACGGAGGGAGUAGCAC